AACCAGGGAGUCCAUCUUUUAUGCUCUUCCAUUGACUUAUCUCCCUUGGGUAAGAUCUCAAAACAUGUCAGCUCCCAGUGAUGGUUUGGCAGACAAAUGUUUACAGUGAAGUUUGUGACUUUAAUAAUCUAGGAUGAGCAUGUGGGCUAUCCCAGCCUUAUACAUCUACAUAUUACAAACUAUUUAAGAUAUCUGAAUGCACUAAAGACCAAAAUAGCAUUUCCAAAAAAAAUAAUUACUGCCAAAAAAUUUGACAAUCAUGACAAUAAUUUAGUGAAUAAACAUGAUAAAUAUUGAUUGGAAAAAUAAGUCCAUGAACAGCAAAAAGUGUUUUUAGAUUUCAAUGAGCAAAACAAAAGUAUUCUAAAUCAUUCUUCGUAAAAACAAAGUGAGCGAGUGGAACCACCUUGCUCGCACCAAAAUUGAGAUUGAGAGUGUCAAAAAUGCUCUGGCGCACCAUCAAUAAAUCAACGACACUCUCUCUACCGUGGUAUUGAAACCAGCAUUGGUAACCAAACAUAUUCAUACAGAUACAGACUACCAUUCAUCUACAUUUAGGAAGUCUGAAUAAUACUGAAAACUCUGGUGUAGAAUUUCCAACAGGAUUCCUUAUUUUAUAUAAGACAAGGAGUGGUUUAUUUUCCCAUGGUUGUUACAUCAUCUUGUCUUUGAAUAUGCUCGAAGUACAGGGACUUUUAUGGAAUUCAUUGACAUGAUAGUCAAGCAAGAUGUCAACAUCUCGUCAAACCCUCUUCCAGCAAAGCCAAAGCUGACCAAGGAUCUUCACCCUUUCAAAACAGGCUGUAUACAGGACGAGUUAUUCCAGUAGGAACAGGGCUAUAUAUAUGCAAGCAAUGCUCAAUUAAGAUGAAUUUUUGUAAAAGUGACAAUAGCCAGGUCAAACUAAAUACAUGUAUAGAAGAAGAUAUUGAUCUAGACUCGCAGCUAACCUUUCUGUCAGUGUCAACAACAACUGAACUUUCACAGCAGUCAACAUCAGAUUGGGAGACUGAUAAUGCUUCUAACAGAAACAAUUUCAACCAACCAAACAAGCAACAGAAACUUUCCAACUUUAAAACAUCAGUUAAAUCUUCCAUGGGAUGAUGUCUCAAAAAAUAACAGUUCAUCAUUUAUGGAGAUUUUAAUGUUAUGGUUUUUCUUUUACAAGAAAGUUAAUGUACACUUGUUUUAUAGUAAAACCAAUAGCCGUUCAAGUAUAAAAAAACACAUUCAACUUUAUUGAAAUUUGAAGAUUCAUAUGACUUAUUUCAAUUAUGU